CACACCACGGGUGACGUUUCACUGCUGCUGCUGCUGUCCACGGAGGGCAGCGUUUGUGAUUGGAAAACAGUAGCAACAUUGUAAAUGAAGGCAGUAUUGGCGCUUAUGCUACAUAUGAAAU